rnacentral:rRNA from 1 species
GUGCCAGCCGCCGCGGUAAUACGUAGGGGCCGAGCGUUGUCCGGAAUUACUGGGCGUAAAGCGCGCGCAGGCGGCUGAUCAAGCCUGACGUGAAAGCCCCCGGCUCAACCGGGGAGGGUCGUCGGGGACUGGUUGGCUUGAGGGCGGUAGGGGCCGGUGGAAUUCCCGGUGUAGUGGUGAAAUGCGUAGAGAUCGGGAGGAACACCAGUGGCGAAGGCGGCCGGCUGGGCCGACCCUGACGCUGAGGCGCGAAGGCGUGGGGAGCGAACGGGAUUAGAAACCCGGGUAGUCC